rnacentral:rRNA from 1 species
AGAGUUUGAUCAUGGCUCAGGAUGAACGCUGGCGGCGUGCCUAACACAUGCAAGUCGAACGGAGACAGAGAGACGUUUCGGACAGACCUCUAUCUUAGUGGCGGACGGGUGAGUAACGCGUGGAUAACCUGCCUCUUUCUGGGGGAUAGCAGUUGGAAACGACUGAUAAUACCGCAUAAGUUCCUUUUCUCGCAUGAGGGGAGGAAGAAAGAUUUAUCGGGAAGAGAUGGAUCCGCGUCUGAUUAGCCAGUUGGCGGGGUAACGGCCCACCAAAGCGACGAUCAGUAGCCGGCCUGAGAGGGUGAACGGCCACAUUGGGACUGAGACACGGCCCAAACUCCUACGGGAGGCAGCAGCUAAGAAUCUUCCGCAAUGGGCGAAAGCCUGACGGAAGCGACGCCGCGUGAACGAAGAAGGCCGUGAGGUUGUAAAGUUCUUUUCGGGAGGGGGAACAACCGUGGCAGGGAAUGGCCGCGGGAUGACGUGAAUCCCGGAAUAAGCCCCGGCUAACUACGUGCCAGCCGCGGC